rnacentral:rRNA from 1 species
UCGGGUUGUAAAGCACUUUUGUCCGGAAAGAAAACGCUCUGGUUAAUACCCGGGGCGGAUGACGGUACCGGAAGAAUAAGCACCGGCUAACUACGUGCCAGCAGCCGCGGUAAUACGUAGGGUGCAAGCGUUAAUCGGAAUUACUGGGCGUAAAGCGUGCGCAGGCGGGUUCGGCUAAGACAGAUGUGAAAUCCCCGGGGCUUAAACUGGGAACUGCAUUUGUGACUGGCGGGCUAGAGUAUGGCAGAGGGGGGGUAGAAUUCCACGUGUAGCAGUGAAAUGCGUAGAGAUGUGGAGGAAUACCGAUGGCGAAGGCAGCCCCCUGGGCCAAUACUGACGCUCAUGCACGAAAGCGUGGGGAGCAAACAGGAUUAGAUACCCUGGUAGUCCACGCCCUAAACGAUGUCAACUAGUUGUUGGGGAUUCAUUUCCUUAGUAACGUAGCUAACGCGUGAAGUUGACCGCCUGGGGAGUACGGUCGCAAGAUUAAAACUCAAAGGAAUUGACGGGGACCCGCACAAGCGGUGGAUGAUGUGGAUUAAUUCGAUGCAACGCGAAAAACCUUACCUACCCUUGACAUGUAUGGAACCUGGCUG